GCCCCUGUAGCUCAGAGGAUAGAGCGGAGCUCUCCUAAAGCUUGCGCACAGGUUCGAGUCCUGUCAGGGGCG
rnacentral:tRNA from 1 species